AGUCCAAAACGCCAAACUCGCUUAAUUAAAAAACCGUCGUAGGUGACGUCACAGUAACUACGUCCACUUGUUUUAUACAAUGCAUGCACGUGACUCUUUCCUGUCGGGAGUUCAUUUGUCCGACACCACUUGAAUGUAGCACGAAUGUGAGUGGGCGCACUGAUUUCUGGGAAGAACGACAAUGUGUGUUCCAGCAGGACUGUAGGUGCUCAGAGAGUUUAUCACACACCUGAAGGACUUUUUCAUUUUGGGGGACUUCUCUCGGACUGCUCUGACAAAAUGGUCGUGAGGCUCCUUCCUUGAGCAAAGGUUGUGUCAUUCCUGAUAUGUGUACGUGGAAACAUCACGUCAGAUGAAUCACACUUCAUUAUAAACUGCUUGCUGCUGCACCUCAGGGCAAAGAGCUCUUUCACGUCCCUUGCACA